UUUUAUUUGAUUCUUAAUGUAGAAAUUUGAUUAGAUACAUACCUAUGAACGUCACUUGCGACUUUGUCUUGCAGGCACAAAAUAGUGAAUUCAACUAAAGCAAGGCUAAAGCUAUUGAAAUGAAGUUCCGGUUUGGGAAUCAGUGAUGAAAAUUGCAUGCGAAUGGAUUAUCACUUCAGGAACCAGUCUCUAGCUACUAGAAGUAACAAUAUAGUAUGGGGCAAGACAAUGAGAUGAGAUAUGGUCAAUGCAUCUCAUUACCCAAUUAAAAUAUUUUGAGGUAAAAAUAGUAACAAUUUUUAUACCUGCCUCAAUGGAUACAGACACAAGCUACGAAAAUCUUUUUAAUAUAAAUAAAUCCUCAUAAAAAAGAAA